UUGUUGUGCUUUCAUCCAUCGAUACUUUCACGACUUCAUUACAUUCUCUCAUCCACCAGAGUUGCAGAGUUUCCCGGUUCUCUAAGCACUACAUUUUUAUGAAGUUUUUCAUCUCCUAGAGGUACUGGCUCUUCAUAUUCAAAUCGUCUCCGAGUAUUGCUGCCACUAUGAGGAAAGAGUUUUACUGGUGACUUGGGGCUAAAAGGACCUUAUGAAGAUGCUUAUACUAACUUCGAAUAUAAUUAUAAUUGAUGGAGUGGUUUCUAUCCCAAUUUCCCAGGAGCUAUUUGUAGAAUGUCUCACCGGUAAUAUAUGUUAUCUACCGGCCAGUUGAGAUAAAUGAACUUAAGUUUCAAGAUGCAGGACUAUGUGCCUGAUUAGAUCCAUCACAAAUUCAAAAGGGAAUCAAACUUCAAUAUAAGAUGGUAUUUACAGGUAGCCAAGUGAGAUUCAGCAGAGAAAAUGAAAAAAUUUAAGCUCUAUUUUCGAAUCUCCCGCAGAGAAGAAGCUCAGGGACAAUGCACAUUGUUAUUGUCUUUCCACCAGAUUAUUCUAUUCAGGCUAUUGUUUUAACUUUCUGAUUGUUUACAAAGGGAAGGUUAGCAUAAUGAAGACGCUUGGAGGAUGAGAAGUGCGCACUAUACUAUAUGGGUACUGAGUAUGGUGAACAUAUCCUCUUUAUGUGUCCUUAUUUAGUGCAAGUUCGAAAUACCAUGCUAAUAUAACUGCAGAUUCAUAGACAAGUUGAAGGAUGGAACUGUGAUAAAUUAGAAAAUUACAAACUUCAAAGACAAGAGUUUACAUAUGCUGAAGUUUUUAGAAUGACAUUAAAUGCGGGAGUUUUAUGGCGAAAAAGGAAUUAGAGGAUCUUCAAAACAGAUAACAGGAUGAAAGCAACAUUGUUUAGAAAGUUGUUGGCUAUUUGGUCAUGUUGUGAAUUUCUUUUAAAAAAAAAAAAUAAUUUUAGGUUUCAAAGUGAAAAAAGAUAUAUGAAAAUUGAAAUUGGUUUGGUCAUGAAUAUAAAUUGGAGUUCUUUUUGACUUUUUGUGAGUAAUUGGAGCACAAGUGUAUAGAUAGAUUUAACAUAUAAAUUGAUCCAUUUUCAUCUCUUUUUAUCUGGGA